UGGGGAAUAUUGGACAAUGGGCGAAAGCCUGAUCCAGCCAUGCCGCGUGUGUGAAGAAGGUCUUCGGAUUGUAAAGCACUUUAAGUUGGGAGGAAGGGCAUUAACCUAAUACGUUAGUGUUUUGACGUUACCGACAGAAUAAGCACCGGCUAACUCUGAGCCAGCAGCCGCGGUAAUACAGAGGGUGCAAGCGUUAAUCGGAAUUACUGGGCGUAAAGCGCGCGUAGGUGGUUUGUUAAGUUGGAUGUGAAAUCCCCGGGCUCAACCUUGGAACUGCAUUCAAAACUGACUGACUAGAGUAUGGUAGAGGGUGGUGGAAUUUCCUGUGUAGCGGUGAAAUGCGUAGAUAUAGGAAGGAACACCAGUGGCGAAGGCGACCACCUGGACUAAUACUGACACUGAGGUGCGAAAGCGUGGGGAGCAAACA
rnacentral:rRNA from 1 species